rnacentral:rRNA from 1 species
UACGUAGGCAGCGAGCGUUGUUCGGAGUUACUGGGCGUAAAGGGUGUGUAGGCGGUUUUUUAAGUUUGGUGUGAAAUCUCCCGGCUUAACCGGGAGGGUGCGCCGAAUACUGAGGGACUUGGAGUGCGGGAGAGGAAAGUGGAAUUCCUGGUGUAGCGGUGAAAUGCGCAGAUAUCAGGAGGAACACCAAUGGCGAAGGCAGCACUCUGGGACGUGACUGACGCUGAGACGCGAAAGCGUGGGGAGCAAACAGG